rnacentral:rRNA from 1 species
CGAACGCUGGCGGCGUGCUUAACACAUGCAAGUCGCACGGAAAGGCCCUGCUUUUGUGGGGUGCUCGAGUGGCGAACGGGUGAGUAACACGUGAGUAACCUGCCCUUGACUUUGGGAUAACUUCAGGAAACUGGGGCUAAUACCGGAUAGGAGCUCCUGCUGCAUGGUGGGGGUUGGAAAGUUUCGGCGGUUGGGGAUGGACUCGCGGCUUAUCCGCUUGUUGGUGGGGUAGUGGCUUACCAAGGCUUUGACGGGUAGCCGGCCUGAGAGGGUGACCGGCCACAUUGGGACUGAGAUACGGCCCAGACUCCUACGGGAGGCAGCAGUGGGGAAUAUUGCACAAUGGGCGGAAGCCUGAUGCAGCAACGCCGCGUGCGGGAUGACGGCCUUCGGGUUGUAAACCGCUUUCGCCUGUGACGAAGCGUGAGUGACGGUAAUGGGUAAAGAAGCACCGGCUAACUACGUG